rnacentral:rRNA from 1 species
CCUACGGGUGGCAGCAGUGGGGAAUAUUGGACAAUGGGGGGAACCCUGAUCCAGCCAUGCCGCGUGUGUGAAGAAGGCCCUCGGGUUGUAAAGCACUUUCAGUGAGGAAGAACGCCUGGUGGUUAAUACCCAUCAGGAAAGACAUCACUCACAGAAGAAGCACCGGCUAACUCCGUGCCAGCAGCCGCGGUAAUACGGAGGGUGCGAGCGUUAAUCGGAAUUACUGGGCGUAAAGCGCGCGUAGGUGGCUUGAUAAGCCGGUUGUGAAAGCCCCGGGCUCAACCUGGGAACGGCAUCCGGAACUGUCAAGCUAGAGUGCAGGAGAGGAAGGUAGAAUUCCCGGUGUAGCGGUGAAAUGCGUAGAGAUCGGGAGGAAUACCAGUGGCGAAGGCGGCCUUCUGGACUGCCACUGACACUGAGGUGCGAAAGCGUGGGUAGCAAACAGGAUUAGAUACCCUGGUAGUC